AUGCAGGCUACUUAUCAACGCUUGCGCAAGUUGUACUACUGGCCAGGAAUGAAGACAUCAGUGGACAAUUUUGUGCGCCAGUGUCAAAUUUGCCAGCAAGCUAAACCUAUACACACCAAACCAGCCGGGUUACUUCAGCCGCUGCCAAUACCUGAACGACCCUGGGAUGAUUUGACCAUGGAUUUUAUAGAGUCUUUACCAAGAUCGGAGGGUUAUGACACUAUUCUAGUAGUGGUCGAUCGUUUUACCAAAUAUGCCCAUUUUAUACCUCUUCGACAUCCAUUCACUGCCAGUUCUGUGGCCAAAGUUUUCUUGGAUUCCAUCAUUAAAUUACAUGGUGUUCCACUUUCCAUUGUGACCGAUCGUGACAAGAUAUUUACCAGUGCCAUGUGGCGUGAUAUAUUCACAGCUUUGGGCUCCAAAUUGUCCUACAUCACUGCUUACCAUCCUCAGACGGAUGGACAAAGUGAGCGUGUUAAUCAAUGCGUUGAGCAAUAUCUUCGUUGUGUUGUGUAUGACAAACCUGGCAAAUGGCGUUCAUGGCUUCCCAUGGCAGAAUUUUGGUAUAAUUCAAGUUAUCAUACCUCUGCUGGGUGUUCCCCAUUUCAAGCUUUGUAUGGCAGAGUGCCUAACUUUGGUGCAAUGCCAAAUGUCACCAUGGCGGAUGACUCACAGGCCAAGGAUUUCCCUAUACCAGAUAGUGUCCAUUUGGAGCAGCUUCGCGGUCAUCUCACUCAAGCUCAAGCUCGAAUCAAGAAGCAGGCGGAUAAAAAUAGAGUGGAUAAAAUGUUUCAAGUUGGGGAUUCCGUGUUGCUCAAACUUCAACCUUAUGCUCAGUCUACGGUGGUGAAUCGUCCUUGUCCCAAAUUAUCCUUCAAGUUCUUUGGCCCUUUCAAAAUUCUGGCCCAAAUUGGUGCUGUGGCGUACAGAUUGGAGCUUCCCGAUGGAUGUCAAGUUCAUCCUGUUUUUCAUGUUUCUCAACUCAAAGCAUUCAAUCCCAGUUAUGCUCCUACAUUUCAAGCCAUGCCACCUCCUCAAGCUCUGCUGGACUCCGCUUCACGACCUUUGGCAAUUCUACAGCGCCGGAUGGUUCAACAAGGUAAUGCAGCAGCUCCACAAGUACUCAUUCAGUGGUCUAAUUUGCCUGAAGACUGUGCAACCUGGGAAGAUUAUUAUGUGCUGCGCCAGCGUUUUCCUGAAGCUGCCAUUUGGGAAGGCGAUGGAGCUCAAGGGGGGAAAGAUGUCAUGCAUUCAGAUCCUUCAAAGCCUGACAGUGGAGAAUCGGUGUAA
rnacentral:rRNA from 1 species